CUUAUUUUUAUUAUUUUAAUUUUUCAGAUUCUUGUUGACGAUUUAUUAGUUUAUAAUGGUAUAUUGGAAAUUUAUUGCCCGGAGAGAAACCCUAAUUGCUCUCUUGUCUUAUUUGCAGAAAAUAAAAGCAUUUUAGAGAAAGAUGUGGAUUCCAUUUCUAAGAGUUUACAACUACAACAAGAUCUUCUAAUUAUUAAUGAAAGCAAAGGUAAAAAUAAUACAUAUACUAAAAACCCCGAUCAAUCUUUGCGACCAUACACAUCAGUUAUUACGUAAAAAAUAAUAGCAAUCCAAACCCCAACCAUUGCUAUUGUACGAUAAUUAGUUCAAAUUUACAAACUAACUAACAUACUUAAAGUACAGAAGAGGUUCCCGAUGCGCAAGUGGCCACAUUGCUCGCUUCGCGCAAUGUAUAUGUGUUACACUGUCCGACAUGUGCAUAAUGAACUUCUGUAAAUGUAAAUUUAUAAUUUUCAAGUUUUUGGAAGGCUUUUCCUCUAAAGAAAAUAUGUGAAAAGUAAAUUUUUAACGAUAUCUGUUGUAGAUAUUGUUUACUAGAAAAGAAGGAAAAUUUUAAUUUUUGGAUCUUUUUCCU